AACUUUCAACAACGGAUCUCUUGGUUCUGGCAUCGAUGAAGAACGCAGCGAAAUGCGAUAAGUAAUGUGAAUUGCAGAAUUCAGUGAAUCAUCGAAUCUUUGAACGCACAUUGCGCCCUCUGGCAUUCCGGAGGGCACACCUGUCCGAGCGCCGUCGCAACACUGAGGCUUCAGCCUUGCGUUGGCGGACGGCCUCCCCUUUCUUCGGGGGGGCCGCCGCUUAAACUUCGACGGCGCCGCACCGCGGCCGACGAUGCGCGAGAGCACCAGUUGGCGAGCGGGAGUGGCGGCCCAGUCUCAUCCACAGCUUGGCCUCGGAUCAGGUGGGGAUACCCGCUGAACUUAAGCAUAUCAAUAAGCGGAGGAAAAGAAACCAACAGGGAUUGCCUCAGUAACGGCGAGUGAAGCGGCA
rnacentral:misc_RNA from 1 species